GAGUGAGCUACUGUAUAUUAUCUAGUAUUAAAUGACAUGUAGAAAUGUUAACACCAAGAAAAAUAUGACUUUACAUACCCUGAGAUCAUCUUUAUUUACUGAAAACAGAAGAGCAUUCAAGGAUAGAGAAGGGAGUGUGAAUGCACGGCACCUAAGAAUAUGUAAAAUCUGAAUUUACUUGGCUGAGAUGGUGAACAGAAAUUCCACCAAAUCUGCUAGGCUCCUUCAGUUGCCAGCUAAGUGAUAAAGAAUACACAAGCCAGACAGGCUUGAAUAUCUAUAUCCUAACAAGCAGCAUUGGAGGAAUGUGGGGGAAGGUGAUGCAGAACCUCUUGGACCCAUCAGGUUUUGGGAUGAGGACCAUGGAGUUUUACCAUAUGCUAUGAGCUGUCUCAGUGACCUCUGACUCAGACUGUCUUCUCUUGAUGCUGCAGAGAAGCCGUCUUACACUCACUUCCAUGACAACAGACUGGGAUAUAGUAUAUGCUCAGGAUUAUACCAUCACUGAAUCAUUAAACAGAAGAGUUUGCCUCUGUGAUUGGAAGCCCUUAUUAAAACAAAAUAUAAUUUCAAGGGAAUAUAAAAACACAUUGGCCAA